GCAUAUCAAUAAGCGGAGGAAAAGAACCAACAGGGAUUGCCCUCAGUAACGGCGAGUGAAGCGGCAACAGCUCAAAUUUGAAAUCUGGCCUCUUUGGGGUCCGAGUUGUAAUUUGUAGAGGAUGUUUCGGGCACCGCUCCGGUUUAAAUUUCUUGGAACAGAAUGUCAAAGAGGGUGAGAACCCCGUCUUGGACCGGCAGUAGGGCCCAUGUGAAACUCCUUCGACGAGUCGAGUUGUUUGGGAAUGCAGCUCAAAAUGGGUGGUAAAUUUCAUCUAAAGCUAAAUAUUGGCCAGAGACCGAUAGCGCACAAGUAGAGUGAUCGAAAGAUGAAAAGCACUUUGAAAAGAGAGUUAAACAGUACGUGAAAUUGUUGAAAGGGAAGCGCUUGCAACCAGACUUGCGCGCGGCGGUUCCCCCUUCCUUUUGGUUGGGUUAUUCCGCCGUGUCCAGGCCAACAUCGGUUCUGGGGGUCGGUUAAAGGCCUGGGGAAUGUAUCUACCCUUCGGGCGUAGACUUAUAGCCCCGGGUGUCAUGCGACCUCCCGGGACCGAGGAACGCGCUUCGGCUCGGAUGUUGGCGUAAUGGUUGUCAGCGACCCGUCUUGAAACACGGACCAAGGAGUCUAACAUCUAUGCGAGUGUUUGGGUGUCAAACCCGGAACGCGGAAUGAAAGUGAACGGAGGUAGGAAGCUUCGGCUGCACUAUCGACCGAUCCUGAUGUCUUCGGAUGGAUUUGAGUAAGAGCAUAGCUGUUGGGACCCGAAAGAUGGUGAACUAUGCCUGAAUAGGGUGAAGCCAGAGGAAACUCUGGUGGAGGCUCGCAGCGGUUCUGACGUGCAAAUCGAUCGUCAAAUUUGGGUAUAGGGGCGAAAGACUAAUCGAACCAUCUGGUAGCUGGUUCCUGCCGAA
rnacentral:rRNA from 1 species